UUCAGUUUUGCAUAAUAUAAUAAAACUGUAUAAAAUAUUAAUUUUAUAAAAUAAAAUUAAUAUUUUAUACAAAAGAAGGGCUUUAAAUGUUGUUUUCUUAUUACUAUGUACAGAAAACGAAUUUAAGUAUUUUAUUAUUAAUUCAUUCUGGAGUAUUCCAUAUUACCUAUGCAUUAUAAGCAAUAAGUGAUCUUUUCUUUGUUGUGUUACACAUGGAGUUACGAGUAUUUUCAAGAGUCGCCGGCAAAAGCAACUCUAUUGCGCUCUUCACGCUUAGCAGUCCUACAGGCCAUCAAAGCGAUGCCGCAGAUAUCUAUGGGUUCCAGUAACCUCUUAACACCAGGUGGGCUGUGAGCUCGUCCACCCAUCCAAGGAAUAAAAAAAAAAACAAGCAUGCCGGGCUGAAACGUAAUACACCACCAGCCGGGCGCUCUUUAAUAUCAAACCUGCAGUGCGUUUCGGUCACCUCAAAGCGGAUCGCCGAGGGAGCCAUCCGUAUCAAAUAUAGUAGAGGGAAUCACAAAAGCAACCAAUUAAUUUUAGACGAAUAUUACUGGUUGUAAUAACAGAGGUGUACUUCAGAAAAUAUAAACAAGCUACAUUUUCACGGGAUAAAGGACUUACUUGUGUCACUCUCUGGUCCGUUAACUACCGGUCGAUUAGGUAGAUCCGUUGGGUGAAAUCACAAACCAAUGUUGUAUUUAUCAGAAGAGAUAUUCCCGGACUUUCGGAGACACUUAACAUGAGAAAAAGGAGUAUAUAUUAUAAUCCAGGUAUAAACUAUUUUUGUGUGAUUUUUUAUCCCGAAAAGUUCUGCAAUUUUCGGGUGAUUGAUCAACAACUGUCGUAAUCUGCAAAUUUCAUAACACAAAUAACAAUAAUAGUAUAGAUUUCCAGUACAAUUUUCAUGUACAUAAUUCCGUGGAAGAAUGAAUAUAGGUAUAUUGUGAAUCCUC